rnacentral:misc_RNA from 1 species
CGAAGGCAGAAGCAGAAGCAGAAGCAGCAGAGCCUCCAGUUCCAGUCUUCUCAGACGUCCAAUCAGUUUUGGAUUUUCUACGCAAAAAUGGGCUAAAAGAAGCGGAGUAUGCUCUUAAAGAGGAUAUGAUUGAGAAACAUGAACUGGGUUCUUUUGAUUUCGAGAAAUUCUUGUUUGUUUUGCCUCCGGUGAGGAUUCCGGCGAGCUUCCGGCGUCCGGAUGAAGAUGGCGGUGUUGGUGGUGGUGAAGGUUCAAGAUCGAGUUCUGGGUCUGGCUCGGAUGAGGAGUU